rnacentral:rRNA from 1 species
AUACGGAGGGUGCAAGCGUUACUCGGAAUCACUGGGCGUAAAGCGCGCGCAGGCGGCUUGAUAAGUUGGAUGUGAAAGCCUACGGCUCAACCGUAGAACUGCAUCCAAAACUGUCAAGCUAGAGUCUGGGAGGGGAAGAUGGAAUUAGUUGUGUAGGGGUAAAAUCCGUAGAGAUAACUAGGAAUACCAAAAGCGAAGGCGAUCUUCUGGGACAUUACUGACGCUGAGGAACGAAAGCGUGGGGAGCAAACAGGAUUAGAAACCCCAGUAGUCC